CUUAAUAUAAGCUAAGUGAUUAAUAGUUAAGUUCUUUAAAGCUAAAUAAUUUGGCGGUAUUUUAAACUUUUCAGAGGAACCUGUUCUAUAAUCGAUAAUCCACGAUUGAAUUAACUUUAAUUAGAAAUUUUUAUAUCGUCGUUAUUAAAUAUUUUUUAAGAAUUUAAUAUUUAUAAUUUUUUAUUUUAAAUUAAAUCAGAUCAAGGUGAAGUUUAUAUUAAAGAAGAAAUGGGUUACAUUUAAUUGUAUUAAUGAAUUAUAUAAUUUAAAAAUUUUAUGAAAUUGGAUUUGAAAGUAAUUAAUUAAACUUUUUUUUAAUGAUUUAGCUCUAAAAUAUGUACACAUCGCCCUCCCACUCUUAUUA
rnacentral:rRNA from 1 species